GUUGAAACACCAGUUCCUGUACGAUAACCGAGGUUAAGUAACGUCGAGCCUGGUCAGUACCUAGAUGGGCGACGGCUUGGAAAUACCCGGUGCUGUAAG